rnacentral:rRNA from 1 species
UACGUAGGGUGCGAGCGUUGUCCGGAAUUAUUGGGCGUAAAGAGCUUGUAGGCGGUUUGUCGCGUCUGCUGUGAAAAUCCGGGGCUCAACCCCGGACUUGCAGUGGGUACGGGCAGACUAGAGUGUGGUAGGGGAGACUGGAAUUCCUGGUGUAGCGGUGGAAUGCGCAGAUAUCGGGAAGAACACCCGUGGCGAAGGCGGCUCUCUGGGACGGUACUGACGCUGAGACGCGAAAGCGUGGGGAGCGAACAGG